rnacentral:rRNA from 1 species
GAGUUGUUUUUCUCCUUCGGGAGCCAGAAAACAGGUGGUGCACGGCUGUCGUCAGCUCGUGUCGUGAGAUGUUGGGUUAAGUCCCGCAACGAGCGCAACCCCUAUCUUAUGUUGCCAGCACUUCGGGUGGGAACUCAUGAGAGACUGCCGCAGACAAUGCGGAGGAAGGCGGGGAUGACGUCAAGUCAUCAUGCCCCUUAUGACCUGGGCUACACACGUACUACAAUGGGCUUUAAUAGAGGGAAGCAAAACCGCGAGGUGGAGCAAACCCCAGAAACAAGCUCUCAGUUCGGAUUGCAGGCUGCAACUCGCCUGCAUGAAGUCGGAAUCGCUAGUAAUCGCAGGUCAGCAUACUGCGGUGAAUACGUUCCCGGGCCUUGUACUCCACCACAAAUAA